rnacentral:rRNA from 1 species
GAUGAACGCUGGCGGCGUGCCUAAUACAUGCAAGUCGAGCGAACAGACGAGGAGCUUGCGCGUCUGACGUUAGCGGAGGGCGGGUGAGAAACGCGUGUAUAACCUCCCUAUAAGAGGGAGAUAACUUCGGGAAACCGGAGCUAAUACCGGAUGAGAUAUUGAACCGCGGGGGGCAAUAGUGAGAGACGGCGUUGCGGGCACGAAUAGAGGGAUCCCGGCCGCAUUAGCUAGUUGGUAAGGUAAAGGCCUACCAAGGCAACGAUGCGUAGACGACGUGAUAGGGUGGUCGGCCACCCUGGAACGUGGACACCGUCCAGACUCCUACGGGACGGAGCAGUAGGGAAUGUUCCGCAACGGGCGAAAGCAUGACGGAGCAAGGGCGCGUGAGUGAUGAAGGUGCUCGGAUCGUAAAACUCUGCUAUUAGGGAAGAACAGAUGUGUACGGAACUGUGCCCUUCUUGACGGUACCUAAUCAGAAAGCCACGGCUAACUACGUG